rnacentral:tRNA from 1 species
GCAAGUGUGGCCGAGUUUAAGGCGCUACGUUUUUUUUAGGCCGUAGUGGGAAACCGCGCGAGUUCGAAUCUCGUCGCUUGCA